AACGAACGCUGGCGGCAUGCCUAACACACGCAAGUCGAACGAGACCUUCGGGUCUAGUGGCGCACGGGUGCGUAACGCGUGGGAACCUGCCCUUAGGUUCGGAAUAACUCCCCGAAAGGGGUGCUAAUACCGGAUAAUGUCUUCGGACCAAAGAUUUGUCGCCUUUGGAUGGGCCCGCGUUGGAUUAGCUAGUUGGUAGGGUAAAAGCCUACCAAGGCGACGAUCCAUAGCUGGUCUGAGAGGAUGAUCAGCCACACUGGGACUGAGACACGGCCCAGACUCCUACGGGAGGCAGCAGUGGGGAAUAUUGGACAAUGGGCGAAAGCCUGAUCCAGCAAUGCCGCGUGAGUGAUGAAGGCCUUAGGGUUGUAAAGCUCUUUUACCCGGGAUGAUAAUGACAGUACCGGGAGAAUAAGCUCCGGCUAACUCCGUG
rnacentral:rRNA from 1 species